rnacentral:rRNA from 1 species
AAAUAGCCGCUUUUGUGCUAAGGUAGCAUAAUAAUUUGUCUUUUAAUUAAAGACUAGAACAAAAGGUUUAACAUCUCAAUUAAUAUUUCAUAAAAAACUAUUUAAAUUAUUUUAAUUGUAAAAAAACAAUUUUAAAAAAGAAAGACGAUAAGACCCUAUCGAACUUCACUUCAGUUUAACUGGGGCAGUUAAUUAAUUAUUAUUUUAAUAAAAUUAAACAUUUAAUUUGACCUAAUAUUAUUAAUAAAAUAAUUAAGUUACCGUAGGGAUAACAGCGUAAUAAAAUUUUUAAGACCUUAUUUAAAAUAAAGAUUACGACCUCGAUGUUGAUUUAAUAUCCUAAUUUACGCAAUAGUUAAUUAAGGAAGUCUGUUCGACUUUUAAAAAAUUACAUGAUCUG